UAGAGAGAGAAAGAAAAAGAUAAAUUAAGAUAUGGAGUCAAACACAUGCUAUUUAAACCAUCUAUACUUCCAACAUAUGUAUCGAGAAAAGUAUUGAGAUUCUUCCAGAGAGAAUAAAAGAUUAUGUAAAACAAUGCAAUCAUCUCAUCAGGGAAGGAAAGGAACAAAACACAUCAAUAAACCAUUUUAACAGAAUGUGAUUACCGCGUACGUUAGUAGUAUAUGAUGUAAGGAGAAAGCGAGCAAGUUAUUUUUUUAAAAACAGUUAAUAGAUUGUCAAAAGGAAUAUUUCACCAUUUUUCUACAUUUAGACAUAUUGACAAACGCAACAAUACUGGGCUUCGUAAAUUAAUGUCGAAAAUAAAGUCAAAAACGAAUGAGAAUGGAAAAUGAUCUGAAUUAGAGAUGAUGGAGUGCUGCACUGAGCUCAGCUUGAGCAAAGACGAAAGGUUCUCUGGCCUUGUGGUUACCAGAUAUCUCGCCAGCCAUUGGACCUCAUUGAAAACCCAAAUUUGAAAACAAAAUUACAAACAUUUUUACCGCCACAAUGAUUGUGGUGCAGAAAUAAAGCGGCCACAACAAAAUUUCAUCCCUGUGGACACCUUGUGACAUGUGAAGAAUGUUCAAACGUUCCACUGAAAUGAUGUCUGAGGUGUUUAAAACCUGUAACAAGCAGAAGUUGAGUUGGUAUUUUUUAGGAAUUCCAGCAAUUGACCAGGAUAUUAUCAAGAACGUUUUCCCUUGUGACACAGUAAAACAGAGUUAUCAAAUGCUUUGUGAGUGGUUUAUAAAUUGUAAACCAGAGGAACGUACAGUUGAAACCCUCAGAAGCGGCCUUAAAGAUGCUGAGUGCUUUGCUGCCCUUGAAUAUCUCUCAUUAGAUGAACGGUGAAUUUCUGUGUAAAUUCUACUGUUGUUUACUCCCAGGUGAAUGCUGACCAAAGAGAGAGACCUUUGACCAAAGUAUAGAGAACCAAGAACCACACACUCCAAUUUGUCCUCCUUUACAAUGAUGAGGUGUGGAGUGCAGUGGAUUUAGCUACCAAUUCUAGCAGAUCUAUCUCUCACAUAAGAGAUACCCUUCACUGGUUUGGUUCCUUUGUUAGAAAUUAGCUUUUGAAAUAAAGAUAAACUUUGAAAUAUC